GUAUCGCUGGACAUGUCUCCAUCGCAGCAGGCAGCAGUGAACAAAUACUUCAGAGACACAGGGCUUGCUUGGUUUAGGAGACAUGGGCAGCAUGGCCUCAUUUGGUGAUUGUUAGGAAAAUCAAGGAACAGCCUAGUUAUUCCGAUUUGUUAGGAGAUCAAGAAAGACGUAGGAUAGCAAGGAACAGCAUAGGUCUUGGGGCCCGCCUGUAGAUGGUAGUUGUUAUGGGACGGGUUGGAUGGAGAAGGGAGCAGCAUACAUCAUCAUCACCGAUGUCAACAC
rnacentral:lncRNA from 1 species